rnacentral:rRNA from 1 species
GACGAACGCUGGCGGCGUGCUUAACACAUGCAAGUCGAACGGAAAGGCCCUGCUUUUGUGGGGUGCUCGAGUGGCGAACGGGUGAGUAACACGUGAGUAACCUGCCCUUGACUUUGGGAUAACUUCAGGAAACUGGGGCUAAUACCGGAUAGGAGCUCCUGCUGCAUGGUGGGGGUUGGAAAGUUUCGGCGGUUGGGGAUGGACUCGCGGCUUAUCAGCUAGCUGGUGGGGUAGUGGCUUACCAAGGCUUUGACGGGUAGCCGGCCUGAGAGGGUGACCGGCCACAUUGGGACUGAGAUACGGCCCAGACUCCUACGGGAGGCAGCAGUGGGGAAUAUUGCACAAUGGGCGGAAGCCUGAUGCAGCAACGCCGCGUGCGGGAUGACGGCCUUCGGGUUGUAAACCGCUUUCGCCUGUGACGAAGCGUGAGUGACGGUAAUGGAUAAAGAAGCACCGGCUAACUACGUG